rnacentral:misc_RNA from 1 species
GAAGAUGAGGUGGAGGAGAAAAUGAUUCCAAUUCAGGCAAUGGUGUGCCAAGGUACGGAUUUUCUGAAGUCAGUGAGAGGGAGACGAGGUUUUCAAGUUUAAAAAUAGCUGCAAAUAGCUCACUGGCAUGAUCCUCACACGCAUUCCGAACAUCAAGGUUUCGUAAGUGGGUUAAAGUACUCAAUUCACUGGCAAAGCCAGCAUCGACAUGGACACCAGCGCAUGUAUGAAGAUUUACCAACGUUCCAAUUCCUCUUGGAACUCUAGUUCCAGCAUAAGAAGGGUAAUUGUUCAACAGAAGGUGUCUCAAUUGUGUAAUAUUCAGAAUUUCUAUAGGCAGUUGGUGUAGAUUUGCAAAUCCUACCUCCAAAGUUUGUAGUUUCUGAAGAUUACCUAUAGUAUGCGGAAGCUUCUUUAUACGUGUGAACCUUAGGCCUAAAUAAGUGAGGUGAACCAAAUCUCCCACUU